CGAGACACUAUGGUCAAAGUGCUUGCUAGUACAAGUCAGCCUUGGCCAUUACACAUGGUUCCCACUCACUGCCCGUGUGGAUGCCUCCUCCGAAGCAGCUUGUCUGUACCUGGGAUGAAGAGCCACUAGGUGGCGCUGUUGUCACUCGAAACUGGAAACCCAAGACCUCGAAGGGAGUGUGAAGAGAAGGAGGCAGAAUGAGGCCAAGCAGAAGAUACCUCGUGCCCAGAUCUUGGUUUCUAAUGCCACACUCCAAAAGAAGAAACUAAGGUGUCCUGGAGAAGUAGCUGAUUCACGAGGAGGCAAGAUUCACAAAACAGGCCGGUAC